rnacentral:rRNA from 1 species
UGGGGAAUAUUGGACAAUGGGCGCAAGCCUGAUCCAGCAAUGCCGCGUGAGUGAUGAAGGCCUUCGGGUUGUAAAGCUCUGUCGGGAGGGACGAAAAAGCAGCUUAACAAACUGCAUUGACGGUACCUCCCAAGGAAGCUCCGGCUAACUCUGUGCCCGCAGCCGCGGUAAUACAGAGGGUGCAAGCGUUGUUCGGAAUUACUGGGCGUAAAGCGCGUGUAGGUGGCGAGAUAAGUCGGGUGUGAAAUCCCUUGGCUUAACCAAGGAAGUGCAUUCGAUACUGUUUCGCUUGAGUAUCGGAGGGGUCGGCGGAAUUCCCGGUGUAGAGGUGAAAUUCGUAGAUAUCGGGAGGAACACCUGUGGCGAAGGCGGCCGACUGGACGAUCACUGACACUGAGACGCGAAAGCGUGGGUAGCAAA